GAUGAAGAACGUAGCGAAAUGCGAUAAGUAAUGUGAAUUGCAGAAUUCAGUGAAUCAUCGAAUCUUUGAACGCACCUUGCGCCCUUUGGCCAUUCCGAAGGGCAUGCCUGUUUGAGUAUCAUGAACACCUCAACUCUCAUGGCUCGCCAUGAUGAGCUUGGAUUUGGGGGGCUUGCUGGCCUGUGGUCGGCUCCUCUCAAAUGGAUCAGCUUGCCAGUGUUUGGUGGCAUCACAGGUGUGAUAACUAUCUGCGCUUGUGGUUUUCCAUCAGAUAACCUUCAGUGAUGGAGGUUCGCUGGAGCUCAUAAACGUCUCCCCUAAGCGGGGACAGCCCUUUGAAUGUUUGAUCUCAAAUCAGGUAGGACUACCCGCUGAACUUAAGCAUAUCAAUAAGCGGAGGA
rnacentral:misc_RNA from 1 species